rnacentral:rRNA from 1 species
GACAGAGGGGGCAAGCGUUGCUCGGAAUUACUGGGCGUAAAGGGCGCGUAGGCGGGAUGGCAAGUCGGUCGUGAAAUCCCUCGGCUCAACCGAGGAACGUCGAUCGAUACUGCUGUUCUUGAGGAUUGCAGAGGAGACUGGAAUUCCCGGUGUAGCGGUGAAAUGUGCAGAUAUCAGGAGGAACACCGGUGGCGAAGGCGGGUCUCUGGGCCGAUACUGACGCUGGAGGAGCGGAAAGCGUGGGGAGCGAACAGG